rnacentral:rRNA from 1 species
UACGUAGGGGGCUAGCGUUGUCCGGAAUCAUUGGGCGUAAAGAGCGUGUAGGCGGCCCGGUAAGUCCGCUGUAAAAGUCAAAGGCUCAACCUUUGAAUGUCAGUGGAUACUGCCGGGCUAGAGUCCGGAAGAGGCGAGUGGAUCUCCUGGUGUAGCGGCGGAAUGCGCAGAUAUCAGGAAGAACACCAACGGCGAAGGCAGCUCGCUGGGACGGUACUGACGCUGAGACGCGAAAGCGUGGGGAGCGAACAGG